rnacentral:rRNA from 3 species
AAAACUUUCAACAACGGAUCUCUUGGUUCUGGCAUCGAUGAAGAACGCAGCGAAAUGCGAUAAGUAAUGUGAAUUGCAGAAUUCAGUGAAUCAUCGAAUCUUUGAACGCACAUUGCGCCCCUUGGUAUUCCGAGGGGCAUGCCUGUUCGAGCGUCAUUUC